UACGGGGGGGGGCAAGCGUUGUUCGGAAUUACUGGGCGUAAAGGGCUCGUAGGCGGCCAACUAAGUCAGACGUGAAAUCCCUCGGCUUAACCGGGGAACUGCGUCUGAUACUGGUUGGCUUGAAUCCGGGAGAGGGAUGUGGAAUUCCAGGUGUAGCGGUGAAAUGCGUAGAUAUCUGGAGGAACACCGGUGGCGAAGGCGGCAUCCUGGACCGGUAUUGACGCGUGAGGAGCGAAAGCCAGGGGAGCAAAGCGGG
rnacentral:rRNA from 1 species